ACGAACGCUGGCGGCAGGCCUAACCCAUGCCAGUCGAGCGAGGACUUCGGUUCUAGCGGCGGGCGGGUGAGUAACGCGUGGGAAUGUGCCCUUCUCUACGGAAUAGCCCUGGGAAACUGGGAGUAAUACCGUAUACGCCCUAUUGGGGAAAGAUUUAUCGGAGAAGGAUCAGCCCGCGUUGGAUUAGGUAGUUGGUGGGGGAAUGGCCUACCAAGCCGACGAUCCAUAGCUGGUUUGAGAGGAUGAUCAGCCACACUGGGACUGAGACACGGCCCAGACUCCUACGGGAGGCAGCAGUGGGGAAUCUUAGACAAUGGGGGCAACCCUGAUCUAGCCAUGCCGCGUGAGUGAUGAAGGCCUUAGGGUUGUAAAGCUCUUUCAGCUGGGAAGAUAAUGACGGUACCAGCAGAAGAAGCCCCGGCUAACUCCGUG
rnacentral:rRNA from 1 species